GGCCUAUUAGCUCAGUUGGUUAGAGCGUCAUGCUAAUAACGCGAAGGUCACAGGUUCGAUACCUGUAUAGGCCA
rnacentral:tRNA from 1 species